CAAUAGCGUAUAUUUAAGUUGUUGCAGUUAAAAAGCUCGUAGUUGGAUUUCGGAUGGGACUUGCCGGUCCGUCGUUUCGAUGUGCACUGGCCAGUCCUAUCUUGUUGUCGGGGACUAGCUCCUGGGCUUCACUGUCCGGGACUAGGAGCUGACGAGGUUACUUUGAGUAAAUUAGAGUGUUCAAAGCAAGCCUACGCUCUGAAUACAUUAGCAUGGAAUAACACGAUAGGACUCUGGCUUAUCUUGUUGGUCUGUGAGACCAGAGUAAUGAUUAAGAGGGACAGUCGUGGGCAUUCGUAUUUCAUUGUCAGAGGUGAAAUUCUUGGAUUUAUGAAAGACGAACUUCUGCGAAAGCAUUUGUCAAGGAUGUUUUCAUUAA
rnacentral:rRNA from 1 species